ACCAACAAAGCCCAAAACAAUAACAACCAAACCCCCAACAAACGCAUUAAAACUCAAAUAUCGGAUAAUCUCAAAACAGCACGCUGCCUGCUCCUACGCACCCCGACCAGCGCUCACCCAGCGAAAGGCUCCUGCAACAGGUUUCAAGCUCCUUUAACUGGUCUGAUUGGAAAGUAACUGAAGAAGCCGGAAAAUGGAGAACUGAAUGUCAUGUACCUCCUCAGACCUUCAGGGAAACCCAGCCGUGGCCAAAACAUUGGGUGUAAAUACGACAA